UAACCCCCAUCGAAUAAGAGCGCCACCCAUCCAUAACGAGUCUUGGAAGGCUGAAGGAAACUUCAGUCUUUAAGCGUAGACAGUGAGCCAGUGGGUCGUUAGCCAUGCGGUUGAUGGGAUUGAGACUCGAAAACCUAGAAAAUUUUGGAAUGCUGAUGGCGUUGUAAUUCCAGAAAGCAACAUACCAGUCAUUGUUAGGGCAAGAGGAUUGGUGAUUUCCCUGGGUCGAUCCAUC
rfam:Sporolactobacillus inulinus CASD NODE_169, whole genome shotgun sequence.